GACGAACGCUGGCGGCGUGCUUAACACAUGCAAGUCGAACGCUGAACCCGCUUCGGUGGGGGAUGAGUGGCGAACGGGUGAGUAACACGUGGGCAACCUGCCCCCGGCUCUGGGAUAACUCCAAGAAAUUGGGGCUAAUACCGGAUAUCCACGGCUGGCCGCAUGGUCUGGUGGUGGAAAGGGUUUCCGGCUGGGGAUGGGCCCGCGGCCUAUCAGCUUGUUGGUGGGGUAGUGGCCUACCAAGGCGACGACGGGUAGCCGGCCUGAGAGGGUGACCGGCCACACUGGGACUGAGACACGGCCCAGACUCCUACGGGAGGCAGCAGUGGGGAAUAUUGCGCAAUGGGCGGAAGCCUGACGCAACGGCGCCGCGUGGGGGAUGACGGCC
rnacentral:rRNA from 1 species